UCCUAAUCUGCAUCUGCAGUUUUCACAGAAUGAAGAAAACAGCUGCUGGACCUGAUCACAGUAAAACAAGACAGGAUGAUGUCCUCUACACCAACGUUACACACCGCACACCCAGACCUGCACAGCCUGCUGACUCUGCUGACUCUGGAGCUGCUGAUGUUCUGUAUGAUGAAGUGACCAGCACUGACCAGCAGGGGGAGCCCCAAUAUGCCAGUGUUACAUUCCACCACCA